UGCUUGCACUGAAUGAGAUUUUAACACGAAGUGAGUGGCGGACGGGUGAGUAACACGUGGGUAACCUGCCCAGAAGCAGGGGAUAACACCUGGAAACAGAUGCUAAUACCGUAUAACAGAGAAAACCGCCUGGUUUUCUUUUAAAAGAUGGCUCUGCUAUCACUUCUGGAUGGACCCGCGGCGCAUUAGCUAGUUGGUGAGGUAACGGCUCACCAAGGCGAUGAUGCGUAGCCGACCUGAGAGGGUAAUCGGCCACAUUGGGACUGAGACACGGCCCAGACUCCUACGGGAGGCAGCAGUAGGGAAUCUUCCACAAUGGACGCAAGUCUGAUGGAGCAACGCCGCGUGAGUGAAGAAGGGUUUCGGCUCGUAAAGCUCUGUUGUUAAAGAAGAACGUGGGUGAGAGUAACUGUUCACCCAGUGACGGUAUUUAACCAGAAAGCCACGGCUAACUACGUGCCAGCAGCCGCGGUAAUACGUAGGUGGCAAGCGUUAUCCGGAUUUAUUGGGCGUAAAGCGAGCGCAGGCGGUCUUUUAAGUCUAAUGUGAAAGCCUUCGGCUCAACCGAAGAAGUGCAUUGGAAACUGGGAGACUUGAGUGCAGAAGAGGACAGUGGAACUCCAUGUGUAGCGGUGAAAUGCGUAGAUAUAUGGAAGAACACCAGUGGCGAAGGCGGCUGUCUGGUCUGUAACUGACGCUGAGGCUCGAAAGCAUGGGUAGCGAACAGGAUUAGAUACCCUGGUAGUCCAUGCCGUAAACGAUGAUUACUAAGUGUUGGAGGGUUU
rnacentral:rRNA from 1 species